CCUACGGGUGGCAGCAGUUAGGAAUCUUGGGCAAUGGGCGAAAGCCUGACCCAGCAACGCCGCGUGGGUGAUGAAGGCCCUCGGGUCGUAAAGCCCUUUUGCACGGGAAGAUAAUGACGGUACCGUGCGAAUAAGCCCCGGCUAACUACGUGCCAGCAGCCGCGGUAAUACGUAGGGGGCGAGCGUUGUCCGGAUUUAUUGGGCGUAAAAGGCUUGUAGGUGGCCACGCCAAGUCGGAUGUGAAAUCUCCCGGCUCAACUGGGAGGGGUCAUUCGAUACUGGCGGGCUCGAGGCCGGUAGGGGGAAGUGGAAUUCCCGGUGUAGUGGUGGAAUGCGUAGAUAUCGGGAGGAACACCAGUGGCGAAGGCGGCUUCCUGGACCGGUUCUGACACUGAGGAGCGAAAGCGUGGGGAGCGAUCCGGAUUAGAUACCCGGGUAGUCCACGCCGUAAACGUUGGGCACUAGGUGUCGGGGGUAUCGACCCCUCCGGUGCCGCAGCUAACGCAUUAAGUGCCCUGCCUGGGGAGUACGGCCGCAAGGCUA
rnacentral:rRNA from 1 species